rnacentral:rRNA from 1 species
CCCGCUGAACUUAAGCAUAUCAAUAAGCGGAGGAAAAGAAACUAACAAGGAUUCCCCUAGUAACUGCGAGUGAAGCGGGAAAAGCUCAAAUUUAAAAUCUGGCAGUGGCUCACUGCCCGAGUUGUAAUCUAGAGAAGUGUUGCUCACACUGGACCAUGUAUAAGUCUUCCGGAAUGAAGCGUCAUAGAGGGUGAGAAUCCCGUCUUUGACAUGGACUCCCCAGUGUAUUUGUAGUAUGCUCUCAAAGAGUCGAGUUGUUUGGGAAUGCAGCUCUAAAUGGGUGGUAACCUCCAUCUAAAGCUAAAUGCUGGCGAGAGACCGAUAGUGAACAAGUACCGUGAGGGAAAGAUGAAAAGAACUUUGGAAAGAGAGUUAAAAAGUACGUGAAAUUGUUGAAAGGGAAACGCUUGAAGUCAGUCAUGUCUGCCAGGACUCAGCCUUGCUUCUGCUUGGUGUACUUUCUGGUCGGAUGGGCCAACAUCAAUUUUGACCGUUGGAAAAAGGCUUUGGGAAUGUGGCACCUUCGGGUGUGUUAUAGCCCUUUGUUGUAUACAACGGUUGGGAUUGAGGACUGCAGCACGCCUUUAUGGCCGGGGUUCGCCUACGUACGUGCUUAGGAUGUUGGCAUAAUGGCUUUAAGCGACCCGUCUUGAAACACGG